rnacentral:rRNA from 1 species
CCUACGGGGGGCAGCAGUGGGGAAUAUUGGACAAUGGGGGGAACCCUGAUCCAGCCAUGCCGCGUGUGUGAAGAAGGCCCUCGGGUUGUAAAGCACUUUCAGUGAGGAAGAACGCCUGGUGGUUAAUACCCAUCAGGAAAGACAUCACUCACAGAAGAAGCACCGGCUAACUCCGUGCCAGCAGCCGCGGUAAUACGGAGGGUGCGAGCGUUAAUCGGAAUUACUGGGCGUAAAGCGCGCGUAGGUGGCUUGAUAAGCCGGUUGUGAAAGCCCCGGGCUCAACCUGGGAACGGCAUCCGGAACUGUCGAGCUAGAGUGCAGGAGAGGAAGGUAGAAUUCCCGGUGUAGCGGUGAAAUGCGUAGAGAUCGGGAGGAAUACCAGUGGCGAAGGCGGCCUUCUGGACUGACACUGACGCUGAGGUGCGAAAGCGUGGGUAGCAAACAGGAUUAGAUACCCUUGUAGUC